rnacentral:rRNA from 1 species
GAUGAACGCUGGCGGCGUGCUUAACACAUGCAAGUCGAACGGAACUACUCCGAUGAGAAUCUUCGGAAAGGAUUUGGUUUAGUUUAGUGGCGGACGGGUGAGUAACGCGUGGGUAACCUGCCCUAUACAGGGGGAUAACAGUUGGAAACGACUGUUAAUACCGCAUAAGCGCACAGGAGCGCAUGCUCCGGUGUGAAAAACUCCGGUGGUAUAGGAUGGACCCGCGUCUGAUUAGCUGGUUGGCGGGGUAACGGCCCACCAAGGCGACGAUCAGUAGCCGGCCUGAGAGGGUGAACGGCCACAUUGGGACUGAGACACGGCCCAA